rnacentral:rRNA from 1 species
GAGGAAUAUUGGUCAAUGGGCGGGAGCCUGAACCAGCCAAGUCGCGUGAAGGAAGAAGGAUCUAUGGUUCGUAAACUUCUUUUGCAGGGGAAUAAAGUGCAGGACGUGUCCUGUUUUGUAUGUACCCUGAGAAUAAGGAUCGGCUAACUCCGUGCCAGCAGCCGCGGUAAUACGGAGGAUCCGAGCGUUAUCCGGAUUUAUUGGGUUUAAAGGGUGCGUAGGUGGUUUGAUAAGUCAGCGGUGAAAGUUUGCAGCUUAACUGUAAAAAUGCCGUUGAAACUGUCGGACUUGAGUGUAAAUGAGGUAGGCGGAAUGCGUGGUGUAGCGGUGAAAUGCAUAGAUAUCACGCAGAACUCCGAUUGCGAAGGCAGCUUACUAGGCUACAACUGACACUGAAGCACGAAAGCGUGGGGAUCAAACA